UUUAACCUGGGAGGCAGCAGUGAGGAAUAUUGGUCAAUGGGCGCGAGCCUGAACCAGCCAAGUAGCGUGAAGGAUGACUGCCCUACGGGUUGUAAACUUCUUUUAUAAAGGAAUAAAGUGAGGCACGUGUGCCUUUUUGUAUGUAUUUUAUGAAUAAGGAUCGGCUAACUCCGUGCCAGCAGCCGCGGUAAUACGGAGGAUCCGAGCGUUAUCCGGAUUUAUUGGGUUUAAAGGGAGCGUAGAUGGGUUGUUAAGUCAGUUGUGAAAGUUUGCGGCUCAACCGUAAAAUUGCAAUUUAUA
rnacentral:rRNA from 1 species